rnacentral:sRNA from 1 species
GAGUCAUAACAGUAGUAGUAAUAAAACCAGAACACAUUUUCUUUCAUACGAUUAAGAUUUAACUAAAUGAGAUUUAUUUAAAUCUCAACCCUUCACACGUGAAAUAAAAUGUGCAAGUGAGCAAAGCUGUUGUAAUUACACACCACAUUGAUGCAUGUUCAAGACACCGUGGCUAGGAACCUCAUUGAGCCAGUGCAAGUCCUCAAACUCACACCCAGGCCUAUCCAUGGGCCACUCUACGUCCGUGGGCUUAAUGAAAUGGGGGACCCACACCGGUGUCCCAUCCUCAUAAGAAUUUUGUGUCAGCCUCUUAAGAUCAGAGCCGUCCAACUUCACAGUAAAGAUCUCACCAUAAGGCUGGUAGUGAUGUGGGUUUGAGAUGGGCUCAGCUGAUAUGGCCCUAUAGUCUGAAGUGAAGACUAGGCUCUUACUAUCCGGGCUGAACCACGGGUGGUUGGUCCGCCCGCCCGUCCCGCUUUGGAUCACUUUCCGGAGGCCGGUUCCGUUCGGGCGAAUCACGUACAAUUCGAAGCUCCCGCUACCCGGGUCCUCUCGGUCCGAUGCAAACGCAAUCCAAUUUCCGUCUGGAGACCAAUUACACAUUGUGUCCGUCCAUGGACCUUCCGUUAACCUGUAGAGCCCGCCACUCUCGCCAACUUCAACGUCCAUUAUGUACAAGUUCUUAUGACCCGUACGACCUGACCGGAACACGAUUUGUUUUCCGUCUGGUGAGGGUGAAGGGAAAGCAUUAUUUUUCCCAUUUGUGGUCAACUUCUUAAAGGUCGCUCCGUCAACAUCAUUAAUGGUGAUGGCAAUGAUAUCCACCUCGGCGCUCUCAGGUGCAAACUCCAGUCCGGCCCCCGUGUAUAAGACGCCCUUGCGGACCGGGUCCCACGAGGUCGAGAAGGCGUUUCCAGGAUAUACCUGGUGCCGGUUCGAACCGUCCCGGUUCACAACAUACACACCCGGGAAGUUCACGUAAGCGAUGAGAUCACCCCCGGGUGAAACCGAAGGAAACGAACCGUCGAUUCUCAGGAUUGACAGGUUCGGGAUUGGGCUGUGGAUGUUUUGAAGAAAAAGCUUGGACCCUUCUUGUUUGUUUCCGUUGCUUCUGCACUUGUGGUACCCGACCCGACUCGAAUCGGGCGAGAUGAACGGGUUGAAGUGGUGGGUUUGGGGGGAGACGUGCCGAGUGAGCUCCUUGAAUUCAUUCCUCACCAGGUCGAAAAGCUCCACGUGGCGAAAGCUCGAGGUGGGUCUUCUGGUCGCCAAGGCGAUGAAGUCGUGGUUCCCUGGUGACGUGGCGGGUGUGAACGCGUGGAGACCCGGCGGAGUGACUCGCUGAACCACCACCGACUUGGUGGAGCUCGGACCCUCUCUCGGUAAAAUUGCCCUGUAAACACUCCACCACUGAUCCUCGCCUCUUCUGUGAAAGUAAAUCGUCGAAUCGUCGACCCAACUCGGCCAGCCACCGUGCUCGACCACCUUGACUCGCCUAGUCCCAUCCCCAGUCAAAAACACGUAGAUGUCCGUACUCAGGUCCUCGACCUCGCCGGUCCAGCCUCUCGGUCCGUACGAAGCGACCGCCGUCCAGAUUCCGGACGGUGACACGGAGGGACUGAAGUCAGCGUCGCCGCGAGGAGUGAGCCUCCGAGUCACACUCGAGUCCAGGUGCGUCGAGUACACCGCGACGGAACUCGUCCUUGGCACACCCGAGUCCUCGUGAGUGGAGACGUAAACCAAAUAAUCCCCCGUCAAAGUCGGCCUGUCCUUCAUGGAAAGACGAUUCUGCCCCUGCUCCAAACUUAACAGGGGGACCUGAACCCGGUCCGAUACUUCAAGAGUGGACCGUCUUCCGCUGCUCGCCGUCUGGGAAUUGAGAUAAACGGCGUCGUAGAAUAUGUUGGAGAAGCCGUUUCUUUCGGUGACGUAGAUGAGCUGGAGGUAGGGGUCGGAGCGCGUGGGGGAUUGGAUUCGGGUUUUGUUGGGGAAGUGGCCGUUGAAAUUGACGGAUUUGCCGUCUGUGAUUUGGGUUUCGGUGGUGGAGGACGGUGGGCCCCGAAUCGGGAGGGUGAAGAUGUCGAAGUUGUAGUCUAAUCGGCCAAGCGUGGUGAAGACGAUGCUGGAGCCGUCGUGGGCCACCGCCGUACACAACCAGAGCGCCGCCGAAUGGAGCAGCAAACAGAUAACUGAUUUGGGAUUCAUGUUUUGCUGGAUUUCUCGGGAUUCGAGUGGAAGAGAGAGUGAUGAUUGAGUGUUCUUGUUGUCCGAAUUACUGGAGGCGUUUUGGAGAUAACGCAGGAUCCGAGGGGAGAGGAGUG